GGCGGUGUAGCCAAGAGGUUAAGGCAGGGGUUUGCAAAACCCCGAUGCAGCGGUUCGAAUCCGCUCCUCGCCUUCA
rnacentral:tRNA from 1 species